UACGGAGGGGGCUAGCGUUGUUCGGAAUUACUGGGCGUAAAGCGCACGUAGGCGGCUUUGCAAGUCAGAGGUGAAAGCCCGGGGCUCAACCCCGGAAUUGCCUUUGAGACUGCAUCGCUAGAAUUGUGGAGAGGUAAGUGGAAUUCCGAGUGUAGAGGUGAAAUUCGUAGAUAUUGGGAAGAACACCGGUGGCGAAGGCGGCUCACUGGCCCCGAUACGUGACGCUGAGGCGCGAAAGCGUGGGGAGCAAACAGG
rnacentral:rRNA from 1 species